rnacentral:rRNA from 1 species
UACGGGGGGGCGAAGCGUUGUUCGGAAUUACUGGGCGUAAAGGGCUCGUAGGCGGCCAACUAAGUCAUACGUGAAAUCCCUCGGCUUAAACCGGGGAACGUGCGUCUGGAUACUGGAUGGCUUGAGUCGGGAGAGGGAUGCGGAAUUCCAGGUGUAGCGGUGAAAUUCGUAGAUAUCGAGAGGAACACCGGCGGCGAAGGCGGCCCACUGGACAGAUACUGACGCUGGAGAACUCGGAAAGCGUGGGGGAGCAAACAGG